AUAAAGCAGGAGAACAGAGCCCAGGCAGCAAUACAUAAUCUGGGGGGAAAUAACUGUGUGAAUAAUGAAUGUGCACUGGAAAAAUAAAAUACGUUAUUGUGGUAAGAUAAGUCUAUUAAAGUCUCGCUGCAGAGUCUGUGCUGGUAUCCUGGAGGACUGCUGGCUUCUCCUCUGCUGCACCAUGUGCCCCCUGAGCACCCACCAGUGUGGCCUCGCCAGACCCCCUGACUCACCUGGGAUGGACACCUCGGAUCAUCUUGGCUCCUUUUCCUGCUCUCCUGGAAAGAGGGAGGAUGUGUCCAUCCAUCUCCGCCCAAACGUGCAAGGUCCAGGCUACCCAUUCCUGGCCACUUCUUUCUCCCUGGAAAGUGACACCAUGAGAAGCAGCUCCAGGACCAUCACCUUUCACAGCCUGGUGCAGAAGCCCUGGAUGAGCCAGAAACCAGCACUGGUCACAGCAUGGCACUGAGGCAAGUCCUGGACUCCAGAAUAAUCAACAAUUAAUUAUUAGGAGUGUUCUCUAGCAGUGGCACAGCAGACACCAGUGGCACACCACGGCAGGGCCUGUUCCAGCUGUAUUUGCAAGACACGUAUGCAGAAAUUUCAGGACCAAGAGGAGUUGGAAAUUCCAGGAGAAGAAAGACAAAGAUCCCCUGUUGCCACCUCCCUCCUCGUGCUCCAAACUGGGUAGGUUGCUAAGUGACAGCAUUUCUGCUCUCACUCACUCACUGCCAGAACCUGAGCACUUAAAAACAACGACAUGGUUAUUUAAGGACAUGAUAACUCAUGUUCUUUGGUAGCAACCAACAAGCUGUUCAGAGUUCUACAAGGGCAGGUUGGAUGGGGCUUUGAGCAACCUGGUUGGGUGGGAGGUGUCCCUGCCCAUACAGGAGGAUUAGAACCAGAUGAUCUUUAAGCUGCCUUCUAACCCAAGCCAGGCUGGGAUUCUGUGAUUCUGAGAGGACUGUGGAUAUAUUCACCCAGCCCUGGGAGUGUCCACACACCUGUGCCUCAGUUUGCCAGCCCUGUGCAAGGAAGUUCAGGACUUUGCUGUUGGGACAGUUGUGUGCCACAUCUGGGAGUCCAGCACCAUAGAUCCUGGUUGAUGCUUAAGAGCUGCACCAGAUUUUCCUUGCGAGAAAGGAGCUUGCUCCAGAGGAGCAAGAGGAGCUUGCUCUGACCUUUGCAAGCUCGUCCCUCGCUUGGCUUUACCCAGGCAACUUUCCCAGCAGAUCAGUGGUCCUGUCUCCCUUAUCUCAUGCUGGUGGCUCUGGUCCCCAUCACUGGUGGCAGAGCCUGGAUGCUCUGAGCCCUGGCUGCUUCACCUCUCCUCACUGCUGACCAGCUCCAUUUAUUUUUUAUUCCUCUGCUGGUGGGAUUGCUGUGCUGUGAUCCCAUUUUAAAUCAUUGAUUUACUGCAGAGGCCUCAAUAAGCAAUUUGGAGCAAUUGAAGCUGUUAUCUUGCUCUAGAUCACAUGGUGCUGGGAGGGGGAGCUGGAAAGGGGGAAGGAGAGGAAAAAUAAGAAAGAAAAAUGGCUGGAGCUCCCCACAGCCAGCCUGGAUCUGUCCCACAUUGUCCCACAUUGUGUUAUAUGUCUCUGAGCCCUGUGGAGGUCAGGGGGUGGUUCGUGCGUCAUGGUCCACAUGCUGGGCCAACUAUAGACCUAUCUGGGAGUUUUCUUCCCAGUUCUGGAGUGGUUCAGGGGAAAAAAAAAAAAAAGAAAAUCACUUCAGAGACAUCAUCUGUUCUCCUGCUCCAUUCCAGUCAAAAUCAAAAGGGCUUGGGUUGAUUUCCAGCUUUUUAAGGCAAAAAAUAAAUAAAUGCAAUCAAAGGCCAUGUCAGAGGGGAGACACUUCAGAUCAAAAGAUCGAAGCAGCUCAUUGCAAGCCAAGAAAACAUGUCAGAAGAAAAUAUUUCUUUUUUUUAAUGUGUUUUUUUUUCUUGUCCUUUUUCUCCUGGAGUGUCAUGGUGUGUCAGCCCUGAGCAAUCAGGCAGAGCAGGGACAAAUCUGAGAAGCUGGGAGCACACUCCUGGGAUGUAGGACAGGCUGGUCCUACCUACCGAUCGAGCACUCUGAGCUGUGAAGCUGGAAUCACACAAGGGGCUGGGAGGAAUAAUGAAAAUCCUCCCUGGAGCAGGUGAUUUGUCUGGAGCAGGCUCAGCCUCCAGCCUCUGCAGUCAGCCUGGGACACUCAGGGUGACACCACUGUGGUCCCCAGUGGUCCC